UCACCCUCCAUAAUGCUACAAAUUCAAUAACUGACCUUCCAUUAUACCCGUUCAUAGGAACAGUUCAGAAUUUAUUAUGAGAAGUUCCUUACACAACUAUCUCUCUAAUCAGGUUGUAAUCUCCUACAGGUAAGAGUUGAUCUCCCAGCACAGAAAACAGCACCUGGAGUGUACAGCAGUAGGUGCACAAUAAUGCUCACAGACAGAAACAAUGGGCAACUACUACGGUAAUAAGAGCAACAACUUAACACAGUGCUAAACGAGUAACCAGAUACUGCACAAAGGACUUCACAGGGUGUUUUUCAUUGAAUCUUCACAACUCGCUGUGAUAGGCACUCUCACUGACCCAUUUUACAGAAAAGAAAACUGGAGCCAGAGUGUUUAUGUAACUGAAGGAAGCCCAUGUGACUCCAGAGGCUAAGCUCUCUACAUUGCACUGUCUAAGAAGGAAAACUCCCCACAUUGAUCAAGAGGGCUCAGUCUGAGGAAGGAGCUGCUGGUGGCAGUGACUAUGCUGAUGAAGCAGAGGGGGAGGCACAGCUCACCUUCCCCCUGGCUGGUGGGAACAUGGCUUCCACGGCCUGGUCUUUUGCAAGGGGUGGGAUCCUGGACGUCUGGCUGAGCUGGAGAAGAAAAAAAGUCAGUAAGGCCAGCCCUAAUUUGAAGCUCUCUUGGUUGGCAGAUCUGGGACCCGGAAUUCCAACGGGGCACACAGACAAAGCUUAAUACAAAGUCCCUGUGUUUGGUGUUGGAACAUGUGAUGAAAUGCAUGAGCCGCUACAAUAAGUCUAGUAAUUUCAAUUUCCCAAGCUCCAUCCAAGAGAACCUGCAGCCCUGCCCUCCCCUUCUCCCUAGAACAUGUCAUACUCUGCACCUCAUAUACAAAGGGACAGCAGAUAGACCACAUAUAAACAUAGCACUCUGGCCAGGCACGGUGGCUCACCCUACAGACUUGCUUUCUAACUCAGGAUGAAUUUUAAUGAAAUUCACUUUCAUUUUAAUGGAUGCCCCUCAAACACAGUUCACCUUCCCUGAAAACAGUUUAGAAGACCCUUUGCCUUUCUUUUUUUUUUUGAGGAGUCUCCCUCUAUCACCCAGGCUGGAGUGCAGUGGUGUAAUCAUGGCUCACUGUAGCUUCCAACUCCUGGGCUUAAGCAAUGCUCCUGCCUCAGUCUCCUAAGCAGAUGGGACUGCAAGAGUGCACCACCACGCCCAGUUGUUUGUAGUUCUUUUGUAGGUGGGGCCUUGCUAUGUUGCCCAGGGUGGACCCUCUGCCUUUUAAGCAAAGAGGUACACUCUAAAAACUAUCCUGAUCAAUGGCUCCAAGGCUGGAGCAAAGGCCUCAUCCCUUUCAUUCUCUACACCAAACUUGUCCAAACCUCAGCCUGUGGACCGCAUAUGGCCCAGGACGACUUUGAAUCCAACCCAACACAAAUUCGUAAACUUUCUUUUUUUUUUUUUUGAGGUGGAGUCUCGCUCUGUCGCCCAGGCUGGAGUGCAGUGGCGCGAUCUCGGCUCACUGCAAGCUCCGCCUCCCGGGUUCACGCCAUUCUCCUGCCUCAGCUUCCCGAGUAGCUGGGACUACAGGCGCCCGCCACCACGCCCCGCUAAUUUUUUGUAUUUUUAGUAGAGACGGGGUUUCACCGUGUUAGCCAGGAUGGUCUUGAUCUCCUGACCUCGUGAUCCUCCCGCCUUGGCCUCC
rnacentral:lncRNA from 10 species